UGGCGGACGGGUGAGUAACGCGUGGGUAACCUGCCUCAUACAGGGGGAUAACAGUUAGAAAUGACUGCUAAUACCGCAUAAGACCACAGCACCGCAUGGUGCAGGGGUAAAAACUCCGGUGGUAUGAGAUGGACCCGCGUCUGAUUAGGUAGUUGGUGGGGUAACGGCCUACCAAGCCGACGAUCAGUAGCCGACCUGAGAGGGUGACCGGCCACGUUGGGACUGAGACACGGUCCAA
rnacentral:rRNA from 1 species